AGAAAAAAUAUUUUACUUUUCUCACCUUUAUAGUACCAUGGAAUAACCUUUACAAUACUAAAACUAAUUAACUGCAGAGUGGUGAGGAGCUCACGUUUUGCUGUUAAACCAACAGAGAACUCAUUGUACAGGAGCUAAAACCUCCCACGCAAUGCUCUGGCAGUGAGCUGCAGGCUGCCCUGCAAGCAGUGCUGUGCUUGCAGCUGCUGCCCCAAGUGGGGUACUGGGUGGUGCUGUGCAUGCAGUGUGAGUCCUGCACAGCUUUCAGCAUGGCGUGGUUUUUGGGGAGCUCUCCCCAUGUCCCUGCACUCUACCUGUUAGUGCUCUGCUCCCACUCAGACCCUGGCACAUUUUCGUCGUGCCUGCAGUCGGGACAGGACAACACAGGCAGAUCUCUGCCUUGUUUUCUUCAGCAGACCUUUGCAGGCAAAAUCUUUCUGUUUGUUAGAAGCUGAUUAUCACUCUUUAUCAUUUUUUAAUUGCACCAAAAAACCUGUUUGGUAUGUGCAAUAAAAACAUGCAUGAGUGCAGAGAGCCCAGAGCGGCUGUACAGAGCAGAGAGCUCCAGCAACCCCAGCAGUACUAUGGGAAAACCUGAGCUGCUGUUUCUGUUUCCUUGAAGUUUCUUGUAAUGAGCUUUCUUGUAAUGAGCUCAAACGCUGUGAUUUGCUUCAAUUUGCUGCCGUGAUACGGACUAAGUUAAAUAUGUCUUUAAGGUUAAUUUUGCUUACAGUUCCUUGGGCAUAUGUGGUAAAAGUGAUUGGCUUAGUGAAGGGGAGGGGAAAAAAAAAAAAAAGAAAACCUGCUCCUUUUUGUCUCACCCACCCAGUUUUCCCUUCCAACAGCCACCUCUGCUGGCAGCUGCCUCCCGGUGCCAAAGGAGCUGCAGGUGAGGGGUGGCUGUGCUCCGUGCAAGGUGCCUUCCCAGCACAGGGCUGCAGUGGGGCCACACCUGUCCCAGGGCGCAGCGGUGUGCAGGCAGCAGGCUCCUAAUGGCAGCGCUGUGUUCACACGGCUCUGUGUUUCACCGGGCUGCCUAGUGCCUUUACCUCUGUUGGAGUGUAUUUUUUGCAGUUCUGGUAUUGGUGACAGCUGGUGAGGCAACCUUCCUAGUCCUGCGACCAGAGAAUCCCUUGUAACAGUCUGAAUGUUAACAGAAAUCAGAGAACAACCUUUCUAUUUUCUUUCGUAUGGAUACAGAUGCAAAUGAUUCUUGAAGCUGUUUUCUGCAGAUUAAAUGAAUGUGUGCUGCACAGAACCAGCAUCAUCAUCAUCAUCUUUUUUUGUUUGUUUGUUUUCUCUCCCUUCAUAGAAAUCAUUGUUUCAAAGCACAGAGGCAGGCUGGAUCCAGGUAACAGGGAUUGCACUGUGCUAACAAACUCGUGACCGAUCGAUCUCCUGCUCCUCCUGAAGGAGGCAUUUCACAGCUUUUUCUUUCCAUAAGCACAGCUUUUUCAGUGUUUCUCAGCAUUUCUGUCACAUAUCAAGAAUGCGUUUACCUCUGAAACAUUUCUGUGCUGGCAUCCGUGAAACUUUUCAUGCCCUUCGCAUUUAAUUUUGUACAGAAUAAUGCAUGGCGUAGUAUUUAGGUCUUCUGUUUUCAAUUAAGCUGCAUUAGGUAACUAAGCUCUUCUUUCAUAUCCCAUAACAAAGUAUCAAUAUCCAGAUGGUGGUGUGCUGGGACAGCAUGGCUAUGGCUGCUACUGCAGAGCUGAGAGCUAUCGCUGCAGCCAGCGCGAUAAAUAACGCCGAGGUUGUGACUCUUGGCGUAUUGGAGGUGCACUAAAUAAUGCUACAGUGCUGUUUAUUACUGGUUUCAUUGGAUAAUAUGCAGCUGUAAAACCUGCUUGAAGCUUUUAUUAAGAAUACUCUGUCAUUAUAAAAAGAUGCCUACAACUUCUUUAUGAUAUUAACAGUGCCGGAAUUGCUCUGUGCUGGCUGCCUGGCUGGGAAGGAGUGCAGCUUCUCUGUGCUCCAGGAUGCAGGGAUGUCUCUUGGGAAGGAAACAGCUCUGAGUUGGAAAAGACUCUUAUGAGUUCAGGGAGACUGGCUUAAGCAGCGCAGAAGUUCAUGGAUGGAAGAAGAGUCCUCGUUUCAGAGCACCUAAACAUGAAGAUUUUAUAAACGCCAUUAGGAGAACUGGCGUGCAGGAGGAAUGGAUCUCAUCUGUCUGCUGUGAUUCUUGACCCACCUAAUUGGCUAAUGGCCACGAGCAAUAACAGCGUGGCUCAGGGGAGCGGCGCUGGGGCAGAGAAGCACUGUGCUGUGCUGAAGGCAUUGCGUGUGAUCCUGCCAUUGAUGACCAAACCUCCCUGAAAUCUUCUUAUCAGUUGCUGCCAAGAUGAGAAGGAUAGCAGGAAAGAGGAGUGUGUUAUUGCUCUCACUAAGCAAGGAAGUUGAACUGUUUUCCUGAGCACACCCAGAAUUAAUUCAGCCCAAGCUGAUCAUGUUAUCACAUGCUGGUUACUGCUGGCCCGGGUCAUUCUGAUGGAAGAGCAGGAAGCACACAGACCAGCUGCACCAAUGGCUUGCCUGGGAAGGGGUGUCACCAACAGGGGAGUUGUGGAGCUGGUGGUGGUUUGGUGUUUUCAGCAGGUGCAGCUGCAUCUCUAAGCUCGCGGUGUGGAGCACCCUGCCAAGCACACUGCUCCUCUGAGCUGCAGUGAGAAGUGGAUGACCAGUGCUGCACACAGCUAAGCACACAGCCUUAUCAGCAAGCGUGCUUUAGGUACGUACGGGUGCAAAGUGCUUUCCUGAAGGAGCAGGCAGGUGUGGAAAAUAUCGGAAGGCCAGGUUCUUCUGCUGUGAUUCCUUACAGCAAGCCCAGCGCCGGGCUGACACUGUCAGCAGCAGCCACACCUCUGCCAGCCCCAGACGGUGCCAGGUGGGUGGAAGCCUGGGAUCAGUGGGAAGGGACACAGCAGGGAAGACAAACAUGCUGUUGUUUUCUGAACGCUUCCAGGUUAAAGCACGGCCAUCUUCAUCUCCGCGCUGAGAGAGAGGAAGUCACAGAGUCACACUGUUGAGCAGCACAGAGGCUGGAGAUGUGAAAGAAGGUGAAAGCGAGGUCUGGAAAGCGGAGAGAGGCUUUGUGCUUCCUAGCUGAAGAGUUGCUGUGCUCUAAGUUUGCUGUUGAUAGCACCCAUAGACGGCCUCCUUCCUGCUAAUUAGGCUUCCUGAACACAGCCUCUGGAAAUGGCUUGAGAAGUGU